rnacentral:lncRNA from 1 species
UUUUACAGGGGGAAAACAAAAAAUGACCUAUAUUACAGGGGGGUAAAGCACCAUUAACCCUAAUUAAAGUGAUCCAAGUGGAAGAAUCGUUGGAUUUAUGGAUUCACUUUAGUUAAUUAAAUAAAUAUAAGAAGAAUUAUUAUUAAAUAUUAAAAUAUCAAAGAACUUAUUUUAUAUGCAUAUGUGUGUCUAUCUAUAUAUCUAUUUAUCUAUCUAUCUAUCUAUCUACAAACACAUGCAUAAGAAAAUGAAUUUUCUCCCUUUCACAAUUAAUCAUUCUCUUAUUCUAGUGGGAGUUAACUCACGCUCAACAUUUUUUAGCGGUAGAUAACUCACGCUGGUACUUUUUAGAUUGGUUGAACCGACUAAAAAAGUGAUUGAACCGAUUCAAAAAGUACCAGCAUGAGUUAACUACUGCUGAAAAAUGCCGAGCGUAACUCCCGCUGGAUCAAGGGAAUUAGCAAGUUUACAAGGGAGAAACUUAUAGUUUGUGGUGCUUGUUAUUUAGGACAUGAAGGAGAAAUAUAGUGGAAAUUUCAACAUUUAUGAACAAUCAUAAACUUAAACUUACAGUUGAUAUUAGUUUAUUAUCAAAACAUAUUUGUCUUCAAAUUGAUUUAGUAUGUUUUGAGUAUUUAUUUGGUAUAUUAAAUUGUCUAGUGUGUUUAAAUGGGUAGGCAAGGAUGAUCAAAGAUGUUUCAGGUAUGUUGUGGUGUUUGGUUUGGAUGUUUGGUCAAUUAUUCUUCUUUGAUUUGUUGUAUGAUUCUUAACUUGUGUGAUCAUAGAAGUUGAAAUUUGAGCUAUAAUGGUUGGAAUUCGAUUUAUAUUUUGUUGUUAGGUUCUUUUAUAAUGAAUAAGUGGAAUGAUUUGUAUAGUAUUUUUUUAUUACUAAAAUACUUUUUUAAAAUAUAAUUCCUUUUUAUAAUCUCUACAAUAGCACUUUUUCUCACUAUUAAAUACAGGACAUAUAAUAACUGCUUUAGCCAAAUUCGUUACCAAAUCCUCGCGCGAAAGAAGUAUACCAUAACGUUUUUCCUAUUAAAGAAAGACUUUUUUUUUAUAGUUUUUCAAAAGCGCUAUUAUAGGUGUGGUAGCUAUAAUGGUGAGGCUUUACUAAUACUAAAAAAAGCGUAUGAAAGCCAAAAAAACUAUUAAAAGUCAAAAAGCGCCAUUGUAGAAGGAAUAAUUCACAAAAAUAGAUUCUUGCUCUCAAUAUAUUUUAAUUUGACUUAAUUGUAUAUUUGGUCCCUUAAGUUUAUUUUAGAUUUUAAGUUGAUCAUUUAUGUUUUAAAAGUUUCAAGUUGGUCAAAAAUGUUAUUCACAUUGCAAUUAGCUAGUCACUUCCGUUAUAUAAUAUUGAGUUUAAUAAAACCAAAAAAUUUUAAAAAUGUUUUAAAAUAGAUUUUGUAAAUAAGUUAAACUCCAACACCGAUAUUCUCAACCAAAAUCUCUAAAAAGUCAUUUGACGGAAGAUAUUUAACUUAUUUUAAUAUCAUAAACAUUUAUUACGAACAUGAAACUUUUAUGCGCUUGAAAAACACUAUUAAAAGGGAAAAUGAAUGUUAUUAUUAUUUUUUUUUUAAAACUCGGUAUCCGAUCCAAGAAUCGACUAAUUUGAUUUUGUUAUUAAAAGCCAAAUUUAUAGUAGUACAUUGAUAAGUUCUAUUAUAGCAAUUGAUAUAUCUACUAUAUACUUACUCUAUGUUAAUAAUUAAUAACAAUAAUCCAAGUGGAAGAAUUUUUGAAUUUAUGGAUUCACUUUAAUUAAUUAAAUAAGUAUAAAAAAAAUUAUUGUUAGUUAUCAAAAUAACAAAAAACUUGAUUUAUGUGUGUAUCUAUCUAUCAAUCUAUCAUUCUAUUUAUUUAUCUAUCUAUUUAUCUAUCUAUAUACACACACAUGAAUAAGAAAAUUUAUUUUCUCCCUUUCAAAAUUGCUCAUUCCCUUGACUCAGCGGGAGUUUACUCACGCUCGAUAUUUUUCAGCAACAGUUAACUCACGUUGACACUUUUUUUAUCGGUUUAUCCGACUUAAAAAGUGAUUGAAUCGAUCUAAAUAGUGCCAACGUGAGUUAACUACCGCUGAAAAAUGCCGAGUGUGGGUUAACUCCCACUGAGUCAAAGGAAUGAUUAAUUUUGAAUGGGAGAAGAGCAAUUUUCCAUGAAUAAUAUGGUAUUGGGCCAUAAUUGAGUUCAAUCCAUAAUGAGUUGAAAAUUACUUCUCUCCCACAAAAUUGCUCAUUCCCUUGACCCAACAGGAGUUAACUCACGCUUGGUAUUUUUUAGCGGUAGUUAACUCACGUUGGCACUUUUAAGAUUGGUUGACCCGACAUAAAAAGUGAUUGAACUGAUCUAAAAAGCACCAGCGUGAGUUAACUACAGCUGAAAAAAUGUUGAGUGGUUAGUUAACUCCCUUUGGGAUCAAGGGAACGAACAAUUUUGAAAAGGAAAGAGCAAUUUUCUAAUGAGUUUGGAUGUUCUCUCAUGUAAGCCCGUUGAGAACUCUUUCUACUUAUGCUUCUAUAUUUUGGUUAUCCCGUUAGGUCAGGACAAACUCUUAUCUCUAUAAAACAAAAG